UAAGCAUAUCAAUAAGCGGAGGAAAAGAAACCAACAGGGAUUGCCCCAGUAACGGCGAGUGAAGCGGCAAUAGCUCAAAUUUGAAAUCUGGCUCUUUCAGGGUCCGAGUUGUAAUUUGCAGAGGGCGCUUUGGCGUUGGCAGCGGUCCAAGUUCCUUGGAACAGGACGUCACAGAGGGUGAGAAUCCCGUACGUGGUCGCUAUCCUUCGCCGUGUAAAGCCCCUUCGACGAGUCGAGUUGUUUGGGAAUGCAGCUCUAAAUGGGAGGUAAAUUUCUUCUAAAGCUAAAUACUGGCCAGAGACCGAUAGCGCACAAGUAGAGUGAUCGAAAGAUGAAAAGCACUUUGGAAAGAGAGUCAAAUAGCACGUGAAAUUGUUGAAAGGGAAGCGCUUGUAGCCAGACUUGCCUGUAGUUGCUUAUCUAGACUUUUGUCUGGUGCACUCUUCUAUGGGCAGGCCAGCAUCAGUUUGGGCGGUUGGAUAAAGGUCUCUGUCAUGUACCUCUUUUCGGAGAGGCCUUAUAGGGGAGACGACAUACAACCAGCCUGGACUGAGGUCCGCGCAUCUGCUAGGAUGCUGGCGUAAUGGCUAUAAGCGGCCCGUCUUGAAACACGGACCAAGGAGUCUAACAUCUAUGCGAGUGUUUGGGUGUCAAGCCCAUACGCGUAAUGAAAGUGAACGGAGGUAAGAACCUUCGGGUGCAUUAUCGACCGAUCCUGAUGUCUUCGGAAGGAUUUGAGUAAGAGCAUGGCUGUUGGGACCCGAAAGAUGGUGAACUAUGCUUGAAUAGGGUGAAGCCAGAGGAAACUCUGGUGGAGGCUCGCAGCGGUUCUGACGUGCAAAUCGAUCGUCAAAUUUGGGCAUAGGGGCGAAAGACUAAUCGAACUAUCUAGUAGCUGGUUCCUGCCG
rnacentral:rRNA from 1 species